UGGGGAAUCUUCCGCAAUGGGCGAAAGCCUGACGGAGCAACGCCGCGUGAGUGAAGACGGCCUUCGGGUUGUAAAACUCUGUGAUUCGGGACGAAAGAUAAGCAGACGAAUAAUCUGCAUAAGUGACGGUACCGAAAAAGCAAGCUACGGCUAACUACGUGCCAGUAGCCGCGGUAAUACGUAGGUGGCAAGCGUUGUCCGGAAUUAUUGGGUGUAACGCGCGCGCAUGCGGCUACUUAAGUCCAUCUUAAAAGUGCGGGGCUUUACCCCGUGGUGGGAUGGAAACUGAGAAGCUGGAGUGUCGGAGAGGAAAGUGGAAUUCCUAGUGUAGCGGUGAAAAGCGUAGAGAUUAGGAAGAACACCGGUGGCGAAGGCGACUUUCUGGACGACAACUGACGCUUAGGCGCGAAAGCGUGGGGAGCAAACAGG
rnacentral:rRNA from 1 species